UACGUAGGGUGCGAGCGUUGUCCGGAUUUAUUGGGCGUAAAGAGCUCGUAGGCGGUGUGUCGCGUCGGCCGUGAAAACCUGCAGCUUAACUGUGGGCUUGCGGUCGAUACGGGCAUCACUGGAGUUCGGCAGGGGAGACUGGAAUUCCUGGCGUAGCGGUGAAAUGCGCAGAUAUCAGGAGGAACACCGGUGGCGAAGGCGGGUCUCUGGGCCGAUACUGACGCUGAGGAGCGAAAGCGUGGGGAGCGAACAGG
rnacentral:rRNA from 1 species